GGUCGAGUAGAUGAAGCAGCAGAGUGCUUGGUGGUGGGUUAGAGGUUAGAGGUCGAGUAGAUGAAGCAGCAGAGUGCUUGGUGGUGGGUUAGAGAUUAGAGGUUGAGUAGAUGAAGCAGCAGAGUGCUUGGUGGUGGGUUAGAGAUUAGAGGUCGAGUAGAUGAAGCAGCAGAGUGCUUGGUGGUGGGUUAGAGGUUAGAGAUCGAGUAGAUGAGGUGGCAGAGUGCUUGGUGGUGGGUUAGAGAUUAGAGGUCAAGUAGAUGAAGCAGCAGAGUGCUUGGUGGUGGGUUAGAGGUUAGAGGUCGAGUAGAUGAAGCAGCAGAGUGCUUGGUGGUGGGUUAGAGAUUAGAGGUCGAGUAGAUGAAGCAGCAGAGUGCUUGGUGGUGGGUUAGAGGUUAGAGGUCGAGUAGAUGAGGUGGCAGAGUGCUUGGUGGUGGGUUAGAGGUUAGAGGUCGAGUAGAUGAGGUGGCAGAGUGCUUGAUGGUGGGUUAGAGAUUAGAGGUCGAGUAGAUGAAGCAGCAGAGUGCUUGGUGGUGGGUCAGAGGUCGAGUAGAUGAAGUAGCAGAGUGCUUGGUGGUGUGUUAGAGGUUAGAGGUCGAGUAGAUGAGGCGGCAGAGUGCUUGGUGGUGGGUUAAAGGUUAGAGGUCGAGUAGAUGAGGCGGCAGAGUGCUUGGUGGUGGGUUAAAGUUUAGAGGUCGAGUAGAUGAAGCAGCAGAGUGCUUGGUGGUGGGUUAGGGGUUGAGUAGAUGAAGCAGCAGAGUGCUUGGUGGUGGGUUAGAGAUUAGAGGUCGAGUAGAUGAAGCAGCAGAGUGCUUGGUGGUGAGGUAGAGGUCGAGUAGAUGAAGCAGCAGAGUGCUUGGUGGUGGGUUAAAGGUUAGAGGUCGAGUAGAUGAAGCAGCAGAGUGCUUGGUGGUGGGUUAAAGGUUAGAGGUCGAGUAGAUGAAGGGCGGCAGAGUGCUUGGUGGUGGGUUAAAGGUUAGACAUCGAGUAGAUGAAGCAGCAGAGUGCUUGGUGGUGGGUUAAAGGUUAGACAUCGAGUAGAUGAAGCAGCAGAGUGCUUGGUGGUGGGUUAAAGGUUAGACAUCGAGUAGAUGAAGCAGCAGAGUGCUUGGUGGUGGGUUAAAGGUUAGAGGUCGAGUAGAUGAAGCAGCAGAGUGCUUGGUGGUGGGUUAGAGGUUAGAGGUCGAGUAGAUGAGGCGGCAGAGUGCUUGGUGGUGGGUUAGAGGUCGAGUAGAUGAAGCAGCAGAGAGCUUGGUGGUGGGUUAGAGAUUAGAGGUUGAGUAGAUGAAGCAGCAGAGUGCUUGGUGGUGGGUUAGAGAUUAGAGGUCGAGUAGAUGAAGCAGCAGAGUGCUUGGUGGUGGGUUAGAGGUUAGAGGUCGAGUAGAUGAGGUGGCAGAGUGCUUGGUGGUGGGUUAGAGAUUAGAGGUCAAGUAGAUGAAGCAGCAGAGUGCUUGGUGGUGGGUUAGAGGUUAGAGGUCGAGUAGAUGAAGCAUCAGAGUGCUUGGUGGUGGGUUAGAGAUUAGAGGUCGAGUAGAUGAAGCAGCAGAGUGCUUGGUGGUGGGUUAGAGGUUAGAGGUCGAGUAGAUGAGGUGGCAGAGUGCUUGGUGGUGGGUUAGAGUUUAGAGGUCGAGUAGAUGAAGCAGCAGAGUGCUUGGUGGUGGGUUAGAGAUUAGAGGUCGAGUAGAUGAAGCAGCAGAGUGCUUGGUGGUGGGUUAGAGGUUAGAGGUCGAGUAGAUGAGGUGGCAGAGUGCUUGAUGGUGGGUUAGAGAUUAGAGGUCGAGUAGGUGAAGCAGCAGAGUGCUUGGUGGUGGGUCAGAGGUCGAGUAGAUGAAGUAGCAGAGUGCUUGGUGGUGUGUUAGAGGUUAGAGGUCGAGUAGAUGAGGCGGCAGAGUGCUUGGUGGUGGGUUAAAGGUUAGAGGUCGAGUAGAUGAGGCGGCAGAGUGCUUGGUGGUGGGUUAGAGGUCGAGUA